rnacentral:rRNA from 1 species
AGUGAAUAUUAGGACAUCGCUUCGGCGAGUUCGACCCUCCACUUUUCAACUCUGUGCAUUUAUUGGCGGAAUCGAGCGAGCAAUCGUGAAGUUCUGCGUCUCAUUUUUAAACACUAGUCAAAGUAUGUAACGAAAUAUCGAAAUAAAAAAAAACUCUCAACAACGGAUCUCUUGGCUCUCGCAUCGAUGAAGAACGCAGCGAAAUGUGAUAAGUAACGUGAAUUGCAGAAUUCAGUGAAUCAUCGAAUCUUUGAACGCACCUUGCGCUCCCUGGUAUUCCGGGGAGCAUGUCUGUUUGAGUGUCAUGAACUCUUCAACCCACCAGUUUCUUGUAGACUGAUUGGUGUUUGGAUUUUGAGCGCUGCUGGUCUUCGGAUCUAGCUCGUUCGUAAUAUAUUAGCAUCUCUAAUCCGACUUCGGAUUGACUCAGUGUAAUAGACUAUUCGCUGAGGACACACCUAGUGUGGCCGAACGUUGAUCUCAGUAGAAGCUUCCAACUAUUGUAGUCAAUUUUAGAUUAGACCUCAGAUCAGGCAGGAUUACCCGCUGAACUUAA